CUGUGUGUUGUUGGGUAGGGGAGCGUUCUGUAAGCCUGUGAAGGUGGCCUGUGAGGGUUGCUGGAGGUAUCAGAAGUGCGAAUGCUGACAUAAGUAACGAUAAAGCGGGUGAAAAGCCCGCUCGCCGGAAGACCAAGGGUUCCUGUCCAACGUUAAUCGGGGCAGGGUGAGUCGACCCCUAAGGCGAGGCCGAAAGGCGUAGUCGAUGGGAAACGGGUUAAUAUUCCCGUACUUGGUGUUACUGCGAAGGGGGGACGGAGAAGGCUAUGUUGGCCGGGCGACGGUUGUCCCGGUUUAAGCGUGUAGGUGUGUGUUCCAGGUAAAUCCGGUUCACUUUAACACUGAGGCGUGACGACGAGGCACUACGGUGCUGAAGCAACAAAUGCCCUGCUUCCAGGAAAAGCCUCUAAGCAUCAGGUAACAUCAAAUCGUACCCCAAACCGACACAGGUGGUCAGGUAGAGAAUACCAAGGCGCUUGAGAGAACUCGGGUGAAGGAACUAGGCAAAAUGGUGCCGUAACUUCGGGAGAAGGCACGCUGACACGUAGGUGAAGUGAUUUACUCAUGGAGCUGAAGUCAGUCGAAGAUACCAGCUGGCUGCAACUGUUUAUUAAAAACACAGCACUGUGCAAACACGAAAGUGGACGUAUACGGUGUGACGCCUGCCCGGUGCCGGAAGGUUAAUUGAUGGGGUCAGCGCAAGCGAAGCUCCUGAUCGAAGCCCCGGUAAACGGCGGCCGUAACUAUAACGGUCCUAAGGUAGCGAAAUUCCUUGUCGGGUAAGUUCCGACCUGCACGAAUGGCGUAAUGAUGGCCAGGCUGUCUCCACCCGAGACUCAGUGAAAUUGAACUCGCUGUGAAGAUGCAGUGUACCCGCGGCAAGACGGAAAGACCCCGUGAACCUUUACUAUAGCUUGACACUGAACAUUGAGCCUUGAUGUGUAGGAUAGGUGGGAGGCUU
rnacentral:rRNA from 1 species